GAAGGUGUAGAUUUUUUGUCUAUUUUGUUUCGUUUGUCUAUUUUCUUUAGUUUGUUUGUUUUGGUUUAAUUUGGUUUAGUUUCCAAAAAGAAUUUGUUGUUUGUGUGUUGAUUAUAUGAUUAUGUGGUCAAUUUGUGUUAAUAGAUGUCAACCAUAGGAUUGAGGCAUGAUUGGAUAAAUAUGAUAUGUAUGUAUGGAUGAAUAGUUAGAUAAUAUGGAUUGUUUUAGUUCUUUUAGUUACUUAUUUAUUGUGAAUAGAUACUUUUAUAGUUAUGCAUGUGUGUACCAUAUAAAGAAUGUAAAAU
rnacentral:lncRNA from 1 species